GCCAGAAGAAUCCCUUCAGGACUGCCCCUAUUUUGCACUGUGGUCACUGGACGCUGUGACAAGCACGACUGCUCCAAACCUCCUUCUGGAUGUUGUGGUGCAGGAGCGCAGCCUAAGCUGGAGAGUUCCUCCUUCUUACCCACAACCUGAGCUGUGUUUUCACCCAAGCACCUAUAAUUUUGAUGGCACGUGCCUGCUGAGCUCUGGAGUUGUUCAUGUGACGUGCAGCGGCUUCCAGAAGGAGGAGGAGCAGUUAGACGCGGUCUUGUCAGCUGCUGCCCAGACAGGUUCUGUAGGGCUUCUGACUGGCUGCAUUAAGCUUUGGACAUCUAAAGAGCAGCCAAGUUCUGCUGCUAAUUUACAGUUUGCCCUUGACUGGACGUGGAGCAGAGUGAUCUAUACAAAAGACGAAUUUGAGCAAAU